GCAGUCUGUAUAAGAGAACAUACUGUAUGCCAUGAGCUUUUAUUGGGACCUGUAACUCGCAGGGGUAGGAGGUGGCCUUCAGAGGUAUUGGUCUUAAUAGGCUGCAAUGGUUUUGUCAAUAAAAGCCCCACUUUGCAAUAAAACUCAAAUAGCCUUUCUCUGAAUGCCCCAGAGCAGUGGUUAAAACUGUGAGGAAGGGAAGUGCGGAAGAGUCAAGGGGAGCCGUGUUGCCCUAUUGAUAUGGCAGGCAUAGUCAUCUCCGGUGGUCCCCAGAAAAAUUUGCAAUAUCACAGUAAUCUAAAUCACUACACAUUUUCUCAGUUAAAAGAUUUUAAAUAAUUUGUCAUAGAAUUCACUUUGUUGACCAUUAACCCUUUUGGCAACAUAGUAUAUACAAAUUCAAUUUCAAACAAAUAUUUAUCUCAAAUUGGGUUUGUUUUUGGCGAGAUCAUUAUAUGAAAUCACUGACGGCACUUUAAUGUACAGUUCACUGUGUCAAUGAUACUGAUAUUGCUGUUGACUUAUAUUUGUGACCAACUGAUGCAAUUUAUAUAUUUUAAUAUUAAAAAUCACACUCCUUCUACAAACUACCGUCUGAGUCAGUGUGACAUUUUCAGAGGAAAUGGGAUCUCGCUUUAGAAGUCAUAGAAUAAAGAUACUACUCAUGACUUCAGCUCUUGCCUUGUAAUCAUUACAUUAGGAACUUUUCUUAAGUAUAAAAAGUAAUUCGGUGGAUUUUAUGACUCUUCAUGGUGCCAAUUGGCCAAAAUGUAAAGAAAUGGGACAAAAAUGGGGCUAAAAAUUUACGGCUAACUCACUGACAUAUAUUGCCUGCUCGUAUCAGCCAAAGUAUUUCGGGGACUGUAGUUCCAAAACUUGGAAAUUUUUUCUUCCAAAUAGAAGUAAGAAAAAAAAUAUGAUGCAAUAAUAUUUGAUUUUUUUGUUUUUGUUUUGCACUAUUAAAGCAUUUUUUGUUGGUACUAUGGCCCAAAAUUUCUCAUCAACAUGGUUCUUAUAACCCUAGAAAAACACUGAUACUCUCCUCUAUAGACAUUUCCUAUAUGUCAAAAACAUGUAGGCUUACAGGCAAGAAAUCUAAGAAUUUUAAAUAUAUGCAUAAAACAAUCACACUGGCCUGAAAUAAUGUCCUACUAACCCAACUUAUUCUAUCAAACAAGAGCCUUUUCAAGCAAAAAUAGCCAAUUAAAAGGAUUAAUGCCUACUAAAGGAGUAUUUAGAUUGUAUAGAGAAUAGUGUUGUCACGAUACCAAAAUUAUUGUUUCGAUAGCGAUACCAAGUCAAGAAUUGAGAUUUCGAUGAAGAAAAUGAAAAUAGUUUGUGUGUGAUAGUAACAAUAACUUGUGACUAACUUAGCAUCUCUAUAUGCAGUGGUUAUAGUGAUAACUGCUAACAUUUACUUAACCAUAACAUUACCAUAAUUAAUAAUAGGAAAUAGUGAGUUAACCUAAUGUUAUUUAAGCUGUGAUAUAUGGAUUAAUAUAGGCUAAUGUUUCCUGUACUUCAAUGUCUGAUUUCUUUGAUGGUUAACUUUAUAUUUGAGUCCAUAAUUUCUUACAAGGCGUUUCACAAAUACACCUCCUUUGCGUAGGUCUGUGCUCUUUAAAUGCUGUAAUAACCCAAUAGAAAUAAAUCACUGACAAACAUGCACAUGCUCUGAUUAUAAUCAUAUAGCCUAUAUUUCAUUUUAGCUGAUGUUUUGUGUGCUUUAUUUUAGCAGUUUGCAAAUUAUUAACGUUAUCUGUGAAAGUUGCGUUUUCAGAGAUGUUGAAUUAGCCGUAGGCAGGCUAUUGGUUAGCCAUGAGGAUAAUGCCCAUAGUUAGCCUACUAUUUCUCUAGAUAGCCUCGUCAAACUACGGUGGUGCAAAAUAGUGACUUCUCACAAAAUAAACCAUAACCUUCUCAUUUGACUUAUUUAAGGGCAUGAACCUGGUCGUGUUAUCUUUCACAUACUAACCUGUCGGUCUUUAAACUUUUCCUACUACUCGGCGUGCUUGUCGGCCAAGUGUUUCUCCAGGUUCGAGGUGUUGGCUCCCAUUGUUUGCAUUUGUUUGUAGCACUGACGACAAACAGGUCUCGACUUAUCGGUAGCUUUGCCCUCACUGUCAGCAAUGUAGGCAAAGUACUUCCAUAUUUCACUCCUCGCGUCAUCUUUUUCUACCAGUCGUGGACCGGCGGCCACAGUAUCACUUGUGCUCGCACAUGCAGCGAUCUCGUUACAGUGUUUGUCACAUGACAGCUGCAGCUUCUUUGCUGCGUGCGUGAGGAGAAAAAACACGGAAGUCCAUAGGGAGACACUGGAAGCAUGCGUUGCACACACCAACAUGAAAUACGACUCUUUCAAAUCUGGAACGCGGUCAUUCUUAAAAGUAUCGAUACUAAUAAAUUUAGGAAUAGUGACGUUUUUAAUUUCUGAGAAUCGCGAUACUUUUGAAGUAUCAGUGCACCGUGCAACACUAAUAGAGCAAGCAUAAAAUAAAGCAGCUUCCUCUCAACAGUUGUAUAUGUAGUGGCACAGGGGGUGUUUUGUAAGUUUAUGUUACUCAUCUGAGAUUGUUGAUACAGUGGGGCUAACUACCCAUAUAAGGUUUACGAAAUAUUGCUUGUUGCUGGCAAUACCUAAGGCCUGGACACUGUACCCAGGACAUGCCAGAGACAAAUUCUGAGCUAAGUGUGAUGCAUGAGUAAAUGAAAAGUCUUCCCCUUCCCAUCAUCCUAAUUACAUCUAUUUUUGCGUGGUGAGAUAAUUGUCCUCAGUAUGUGGGGUGUAUUCUCCCUGUGAGGCUUUUAGGAGUGAGUACCACUCUGCUCUCAGUGAGUAAUUUGCCUCAACAAUGACAACUCUCCCCUUUAUACCCACCUCUUCAAAAGUCAUAGGUCUAAUUGUAUGCGUGGCACUGUAUGUGUUACCUGUAGCUGUUUGCUUGUUAAUGUGCAUGAAGUCAGAGCUGAGGAAGUAAAACCAAUCGACCCUCUCCUCAUUUACUGUCAGUCAGAUGUUGCUCUCUCCCCCUCUCAGUGAAGGCUUAAAUGCCCAGUGAGUCAUCACCAUCAUUUCCAUGUUUCCAUGUUUUAACAUAGUGUACGGGUGAUGUAAGUUGUUGGUGUGUUCACUGAUUGCAUUGAUCUGCAAUUUCUCUUGGCCCUAGGCAAUUUGGAUACAUUCACUGGAAAGAAAACCCUGGACUGAUUGAUAGCUGUGUUUUUAAAAGGAUGCAGCUCGAUCUACAAGCCUCCAUCACACUGUUAUAUGGACUGUACUACUACUAUGUUAGAGAUAUUCCUUCAUCGAAGAGAAAGUGAUAUGCUUGUUUUGACUUUCUCACAAAUAAAAGAAGGAGCGAGUCCUCUUCUACAGUGUCCACCAUGUUGAACUGCCAUCAUUCUACAGUAGCCCAGAACAGCAAACCAAAUACUAGAGUCUCAAGACCACCAUAGUUUCUCCUACAUGCUUGGAAAUGGAGGGUGAGGCAUUGGCGCUGCAAUCAGCAACCACACCACUGGAUGCCACUAAAUCCUACACACUGGUCCUUUUAAAAAAUUCAAUAAAACAUCUUUUAUAUCUACAGGGGGUGAGUGGCUGAUACACAAGGCAAUGAGAUUUUGGGUGGAGCAUUGUUUUAACUCUUUCCAGAUAGAAGAGUGAGAUCACAACCUCAAUGACUCACCAUAAAAUAUCUUGGAUGUGGUGUAGGUUUUACUUUAUGGCUGCACAUUUCUGGAUAGAAUAAGAAAAUCAUCAGUUUCUCACCCAGCAGAAUAUUAUGGUCAAGAUUUUUUUCCCACAGCUCUUAAGGAAGUCGUUUACAAAUGAAAACAUUUAUGGAAUUAAUUCUUGUCUUCAUAUGGACAGGAACGCAACAUACAAUAGGAUUGUGACCAAUAUUUAGAAUUGUUUCUAUUAUUUUGUCCACCACCAUUUUAAUGGGAUAACAAUAUAUAACAUUUUUAAAAAGUCGUCCAAGUUUAACAGGCUUGGAUGAUGCUCUCACUCAGACAGUCUUGACAAUCGCCACAACCAGGGCAAAGGGCCACAGGUCGGAUUGGAACCAUGGCUGUUGCAGCAAGGAUUCAGCCUUGGUACAUGGGGUGCUCUACCAGGUGAGCUAUAGUGUGCACCUCUUGGUAGCAAAUUGUGUGCCCCCUCCUUGUUAUCCAAGUUGAAAUAACUUUUGACCUAUCUUUAUACUGUGCAUCAAGCAUGGUUGCAACGGAAUAAAGGGCCUUGCUUUGCACACCAUUAAAGCAAUCACUGACGGCUUUUAAUAGGGUUCUUUUUAGCUGUUUGCUAUCUGAGUCACUUCUCCUGCCAAGCAGCCAGUGUCGGAUGACAUCUGCAGAACUGAUCUCUUCUCAGCUCUGAAAAUUAUCUGAGACUGGUUAUCGUGUCACGUGGCUCAGUAUAGUCCACAAAUUUGUGGAACCCGACAUAUUCAGCAAAUGAAAAUGGCUGGUUGUCCAGAGCAAUACUCCAAGAGUUUCUGAGUGAUGCCUUUGGGCCUGGGGUGGUUGCAGUCACAUUUUUUGCUUUUGUUAAAGAACUGGAGAAGAGGCUGCUGACAGUUGUUUUUCUACUGGUGCCUGUUUCACAUAUUUCUUACAGUGACCGUGAUGAAAGGGUAAAUAAAUUUGUAGCGUUAAAGGAAUGUGAUUUGUGUCCUCGUCGCAUAACAGAUGCUAAGCAAAUAUUGCAAUUAGUACUUGUCCCUCUUUUCCUCGAACAGAUACGAUGAAGUAAUUUUUGGCUCACGAAACACCCUCAUACCAGGGAGUGUCAACGAUGUAAGUUAAUGGUAAAAUUAUAGCAUCAUCUGAUCUUCCUCUCAUAUUGGAAGAAAUUUUCAUUUUAGGCAGAUGCUGAUGUUUAAUUUGCCUACAUCAUCGUGCAUAACUAAUAGAACUUAAAAAUCUUGGACUCGAUUGAAUGGCUGAGGAUUUUCUCGAUUCAUUGUUUGAUCAGUUUGUUUAUAAAAUGUCAGUAAAUACUAAAAAGUACACAUUACAAUUUCCCAAAGUUGAAUGUGACAUUUUCAAAUCACUUGCUCUGACCAACAGUCCUAAACCCAACAAUAUUAUAUAUAUAUAUAUAUAUAUAUAUAUAUAUUUAUAUAUAUAUAUAUAUCCUGCUAACCUAUAUAGUCUAUGUACUGGGAGUGCUUUAGACCAUUAUCUCUGCAGAGAGUGGUUACUACCUAUCCACCUCAGGCCCUUCCAUAAAGAUCCAUUUAUGGAUUUGAUUUCCUCUUUUGUAUAAAGACCAGAGGGGAGUUUGGUGGGGCUUGGCAAGUUUUCUUUGUCAAGCUUUGGCUUCAGCCUUGGUGAUUUAAUAAUGUGUCAUUGGCUGGCCCCUUCCUGAGUGUUUGGCUGAUGACUGUAUAGGACAGAGUAGGACGGAAUGAGAUGUGGCUAAAGACAAUGCUUUUAUGGACCUCAGGGAUGCACAGAGAGAAAUGGAGAAUCACCCUCCUUCCCUUCACUUUCAAACUCAUGACAGACUUAACUAUAGUUGAUUCACAUUUCAGAAAGUACACACUUGUGUAUGCUGAUGAUUUGGUUUUAGAAAAGAAAAGUAAUAUUUUUUCCAUUAGUUGUCAAAGAAAUAAUGAAAUGCUAUGUAUUUGUGGCCACUGUGUUUUACAAGAACUCUAAGCUGCUUAAAACAAACUACAGAACAUACCAAAUGUACAAUACAGUAUUUAAAGAUGGCAGCUUUGUAGCUAAGGUUGUUUUAACAAUAGUUAAUUCUACACACAACCAUAUAUUCACAGUUCAUUCAGGGUGUCAGAUCUGAUGGGCCCUUGGAUUGUCUGUUCCUAGUUCUACUGCUAGUGCUUUCCAUUAUUUGUGUACAAGAGUCCAACAUCCAACACAGCACAUCCCACUGAGUUGUGGUACUGUUCUGGGACAUUCAAAGACUACCAACUCCACUCUGGCCCCGUUAGUGUUAGCUGAAGAUGAAGGCUUGCAUACUUUCUCCAAUAAAUCCUUCUGAAUCAGAAUCAGCCUGUCAGGCUUGCCUGGAUGAGAAGCAGAGUUGGCCCAAGGCCUAUGGUGUCCAACUGUAACAGUCCAUCUCCAUCAGGGGAUACACUAAACCCCUUCAAAGGGCAGUGUUUAUUCCAGAGGCGCCUUUAAAAGCCCUGAGAAUUGGAUACAGGUAUCCCCACGUUGGGUAAGGGGGUUAUGGAGGUUGUAUAAUGGUGGUCAGCUGCUGCUCAUUCCCGCUCAAUAGCCUAAAGCCUGACUGACUCAUUAGCCAUUUCUUCGCUUCAUACAACUGCAGGGUGUUGCGCAAAGUCAUUUCUCAACUUCUGAACUAAAAUCACUAAUGCAAGUCAGACAUUUUCUCUGUUGAGUUCAAUGUCAGAAGUAAUAAUCAAAGUAAUAAUCCUUCAGAUUUUCAUGAAAUCAAACCUAUUUAUGGUUGACGUUUACAGCAACCGCCAUUCAGUGUAAUUAUAACUCCUCUGUAUCAUUGUAAGUGGUGGAGUCCACCAUUACAAACCUGGGGUUCAAAUUGCCCUCACACAUGAGGGAUUCAUAGGAACAAUACAUGUUAGUUUAUUUAAUUGAUAUUUACCUCACUGUUAACACAUUGUAUUUUAGCAAUAAUAGUAGAAAAUAUAAUAAUAAAAUUGAAUUAAACAGCUUAGGUUUAGAAACAUGUUGAAGAAUGAAAACUAGUUUAUAUCUUUUCUCAGUAGAAAUCCAGCUGGUUUGGAGGAGUGGCAUUGCUAUAUGCUAUAUCUUAGCUGAUAUAGCAAGUGAUAUUGGCACUUUCCUACCUCUGUCUGACUGCAACCCCCAAUCUGUGGGUGUUUCUGACAAACUCAGAUUUUUGUAUGACAGGAGACACAAUAUCAUCACUGCAAAUCUAAGCCCCUGCUGUGAAGUAUUUUUGAAUAGGAAAGAAGAAGCAUUUUGGCACUGCCAGUUUGACAUAUUUUUAUUCUGACAUUUAAGCAUAUGACAUAUAAUGAUGCACUUCCCAAAAGAUAAACACCGAUUUGAAUGAAAUCUGAGUUGUGUGGCCAUUCUCCAUUCAGCUGUGGUGGCAGGCAGGCAGACUACUGUACUUUUCUCCCACUUCCAGUAAAUGUAUUUAGAGGAGAUUACAGAUGUGAUCCAGACAAAAGAGCAAACUCCCUGGUUCUGUCUGACUGGUUGUCUGUAGUUGGGCAGAGAAUAGAUCUUGAGGUUGUAAUCUUGAUGGACACGAACAAUCACAUUGUCACUUCAUCAAUACACUGAGAUGACCAGAAAGAAAGAUACCAUGUGAUGUUUUUUGAGGUCAUUGGUGGGAUUUUCUUUCCUCUUUGUUCUUCUGCAUAACAUGCUCUCAAAUGAAUAUUGUAAGAAAGACAAUUGAGCUUUUCAGUCAUGCCUGCAUAGAAGCAAGUUUGUGUAAAUGCUGUGAUUGUGUGUUGAUCUAGACGAGAAAAGAAAACUCUCAUAAUGUGUGGGCCUUCCACCUGCCUGUCAAUUCAGAAGGGAUAACAUCCAUAACCAGCUUUGCUCCAGGCCCAGCUUAUUCAUGUACACUCCUGUUCAACUUCAGCAUUCCCAAGUUUGUACGUUUUUCCAGUAGAUGAGACUGAACUUGAGCCGAAGAAAACACCAGUUCCCUAUGUAAGAUAGGUGCCAGGUAUGGCAUGCAAUAAUGAAAUAAAAGAAUCUUUAAAACAAGA